rnacentral:lncRNA from 1 species
AGAACUCAAACUUCUGCUUUAUUUAUAUACCUGGUUUGAAGCAGAAGCCUUUAUAGGAGUUGUAGAGUAAACUUUAGACCACAACUUUGUUAAUUUGAGUUUGGGCCAAUUCACCCUGGAACAUUUUCAAAUUCGAGCUCAAAGUAAGCACCAGCUUAAAUGCAGCACACAGCUCUAAGUUUCAAAAACAGUGAAUGUCUUCCAUUUUUGGCAUGUGAAUUUCUACAAAAUUCAAAACUAAAC